UGCAUUACGUUUGCGCGCAUUACCAUUACAUUUGCGCGCAAAAAUCAUUACGUUUGCGCGCAGCUUUUGAUUACAAUUGCGCGCAUUUUUUUUGACAGGUAAACUCAGAUAAAAUACAGGUAAUAAUACUUAUUUAUUUAUAAUUAGUUCAAUUAUUCACAAGUAUAAGUACUCAUUCCGUUAGUCUUGAUCCCCUACUCACCAACGAUAAGGUGGAAGUAGGAUUUCGAGCAAGAUAAGUCCGUUUUAUUAUGCACAAGCACUAAAUCCCAGAAAUAUGUGCAGAUAAAAAUGUUAAAAUGCUAAAACAAAGCUAAUCAUAAAGGUAAAAGUAUUGAUAAUUUCAUUACUUUACAUGUAGGUACGUGUCGAAACUCCAUGUUUGUGCCUUGGUGUAACUUUACUGUGACAAACUAUCUUAAAUUAUUUACCUAUUUUAAAAACGAUCACUAUUCGUUUAAAUCCUUUUCACUCUGAAAUAUUCGCAAUGAAGUUACAUGUAUUAAGCUAUACUACGGAGUUUAUAAUGAUCACUUUAUAAUUCGUUUUAUAAUUCAAUAUGAACAAUAUAUAGUUUGAAUAAAGAAAUAUUUUCAAAAUUAAUAAUU
rnacentral:lncRNA from 1 species